rnacentral:lncRNA from 1 species
UUUGAUAUUAUCUGGAAGUCAGGAGAUGUAACCCUAAAUUAACCAAAGAAAAUGGUAUUGAAGGUUCAGCCCUAUGUGACUCAUGCAUUUUUGCGUACGAAAAUGCAUGUGUGGGUCAUGUAAAUAAGAGAACGAAGACCAUAUAAUAAUUUUUCAAUUUAAAGUCAAGAGCUCACAUUUUAUCCUGACAAUGUAGAUUUUGGAUAAACCUUUUUAUUUACCAAAAAGGAUUUUAAACCUGAAUUUCUAGAGUAUUCUUACCUAUCACCGUAACGACUCUCACCACUGAGCUAAGUCUAAUUUCUUAAUUAAGUUUGAGUAUAAUUCGUUUAAUAUUGUUUUGAUUUGCCCUCAUGAUUGAUUAAUUUAAGGGAAGAACGAACUAGUCGAUUGAUAGAGAAAUGCUUUAUUGUAUGUGUAUUGGUUUGGACAACAGUAAAUCCCAACAAUAAUACAAGUACAGUAGAUAGAGAUUGG